AAAAAAAAACUAUACUUUCAGGGAUCAUUUCUAUAGUUUGUGACUAGAGAAGUUUCUCUGAACGUGUAGAGCACCGAAAACCACGAGGAAGAGACGUAGUGUUCUCUCCUGAGCGUGAAGCAGGCGUUAUGGUGUUGCUUCUGUGCAAUUGCCAUCAGCCAUUGAUGAUCGUUCUUCUCUCCGCUUUGGAGAGUAAGAGGGAGAGAACGCUGUCUGAGUGG
rnacentral:snoRNA from 1 species